GGCGGACGGGUGAGUAAUGCUUGGGAAUCUGGCUUAUGGAGGGGGAUAACUACUGGAAACGGUAGCUAAUACCGCGUAAUAUCGAGAGAUUAAAGACUGGGACCUACGGGCCAGUUGCCAUAAGAUGAGCCCAAGUGGGAUUAGGUAGUUGGUGGGGUAAAGGCCUACCAAGCCCGCGAUCUCUAGCUGGUCUGAGAGGAUGACCAGCCACACUGGAACUGAGACACGGUCCACACUCCUACGGGAGGCAGCAGUGGGGAAUAUUGCACAAUGGGGGGAACCCUGAUGCAGCCAUGCCGCGUGAAUGAAGAAGGCCUUCGGGUUGUAAAGUUCUUUCGGUGGUGAGGAAGGUAUCAACUUUAAUAGAGUUGGUAAUUGACGUUAUCCACAGAAGAAGCACCGGCUAACUCCGUGCCAGCAGCCGCGGUAAUACGGAGGGUGCGAGCGUUAAUCGGAAUGACUGGGCGUAAAGGGCACGCAGGCGGAUUGUUAAGUGAGAUGUGAAAGCCCCGGGCUUAACCUGGGAAUUGCAUUUCAGACUGGCAAUCUAGAGUAUUUUAGGGAGGGGUAGAAUUCCACGUGUAGCGGUGAAAUGCGUAGAGAUGUGGAGGAAUACCGAAGGCGAAGGCAGCCCCUUGGGAAUAUACUGACGCUCAUGUGCGAAAGCGUGGGGAGCAAACAGGAUUAGAUACCCUGGUAGUCCAC
rnacentral:rRNA from 1 species